rnacentral:rRNA from 1 species
UACGGGAGGCAGCAGUGGGGAAUAUUGCACAAUGGGCGCAAGCCUGAUGCAGCCAUGCCGCGUGUAUGAAGAAGGCCUUCGGGUUGUAAAGUACUUUCAGUCGUGAGGAAGGUGUUAAGGUUAAUAACCUUAGCAAUUGACGUUAGCGACAGAAGAAGCACCGGCUAACUCCGUGCCAGCAGCCGCGGUAAUACGGAGGGUGCGAGCGUUAAUCGGAAUUACUGGGCGUAAAGGGCGCGCAGGCGGUUAAUUAAGUUGGAUGUGAAAUCCCCGGGCUUAACCUGGGAAUGGCAUUCAAGACUGGUUAGCUAGAGUCUUGUAGAGGGGGUAGAAUUCCAUGUGUAGCGGUGAAAUGCGUAGAGAUGUGGAGGAAUACCGGUGGCGAAGGCGGCCCCUGGACAAAGACUGACGCUCAUGUGCGAAAGCGUGGGGAGCAAACAGGGAUUAGAUACC